GCUUUGCUUGUCCUAUGACUUGGGUUUCAGUUCUCUCUCUCUCUCCUUUAAAAACAUAAACACUGUAAACUGGUUGUGCUCUGUUCAGAAGAAUCUGAGAUUUCAUUUCUGAUCUGGAAAACCAAAAAAAGAUGAGAACCCAGAUCUUGGUUCUCGGUUUCUUCUUCUGUUUUCUUCUCUUGAGCUCCUCUUUCAUGGAUUCCGCCAUGGCCAACGGAGAUGUGUGCACGAGGCCGUGUCGAAAGAGGUGCUCGCGAGCGGGGCUAAAGCGUCGGUGCAUGAAGUACUGCAGACUGUGCUGCGGCAAAUGCAAGUGCGUUCCCAGCGCUGGGGCUUACGGCAGGCACCACUGCCCUUGCUACAGCCACAUCCACACCUAUAAGGGCAGGACCAAGUGCCCUUAAAUUUAAGCCCACUGUGCCCUACAAAAGCCAACCACCCCCAAUAAUUUUGUGUCUCAAUUAUUAUUUCUUAAAGCUUGAGGUUUGGUGUGUCAUGUGUGUGCUGUGCUUUAAUAAAUAAUAAUAUAAUGUGUAUGUAUUUAUCUACUUC